AUCACAUGUUUCUUACAAAAAAUAAUAAAUAAAAUAAAAUAUUCGUUCACAUGUUCAUUUUUGAUACAUGUAGCUUACUGCAGCAUGUAAGAAAACAAAGAAACAAUGGAAGCCCCAACCAAUGAUCCAAGAACAGGCAAGGUUGCGGCAGCCACGCUGGAAUCUGGUGCUGAUGCUGUGACGGAAGCAGGAGAGGAGCUAGGACUAGAACCACCGGCGGAAGGGGAAGGAGCAGGUGCACCGGCAGCCAUGACGGCGCUCAUUGAGGCAGCAGCAACAAUGAUGGCGGUGGAGACCUUCUUCAUGUCCAUGGCGUAUAAAGGGAUUAUUAAACGCACCGGAAAUGAACGAGACCUGCGUUUAAUUUCUGGAGAAUGGGGAUCCGCCGGUGAUUGUUAUUAUUUGCUUUGUUAUUGCAGGUCUGAAGAAGAAUGGUGUUGGGGAGGAUCAUUUAUAGGUGAAAAUUCAUGGCUAUUUUUAGUGACGAAAUUUUUAAAAAAAAUUUACGUGUUUGGUUUUUGCAUGGUUUGCGGGAUAGACAUGCAAAUUUUUGAAUUUGUUUUAGCGAUUUUGACUGGAUUUUAUGGUUAGGGGAUUUUAAUUUUUUUUUUUUUGGUAAGAGAAAGAGGAGUAGUAAAUUACAGAAUAAUAAUUACCUCAAUCAAUAACAUUUUGUAAAUUAUUCAGAAUGGAAAUAUCAAUUUGUUGAGGAAUAAAUUCAUGAAGAUCCAAUUGAUAGUUAAACAUCAUUGUCGAUAUAGGAGAAUGUGAGUUCGAGCGGGUUUAUCCUCCUAUUGAAAAGCUUGGAUGAGUUAUGGGUAGUUCUAACCAUUAUAUCAACUUAUACUUUCACGGUUGAAUUAGAUUAUAAAAAAAAAAAGUACUAAGUAAGCUCCUGUACUUAGGGUGUAUUGCAUUUCAGCCCUUUUAUUAAAAUAGUGGCUAAAUUAGCCUUUAUGUAUUUCGAAACGUGCAAAUUGGAUCAUCCUUUAAAUUUUAUCUAUUAAAUGAUGACGUGGAACGGUAAAUCUAUGCUGAAAAUUAUUUUUUUAUAGGUAAACUAUAAAAAUGAUCAGUUAACUAUGUCUUUCGUUGUAUUCUAUUUUGGUCACCCACUUAUUAUUUUUUGUUUUGUUCAUAUCAAAUUAAUUAAAUUUUUAUUUCUUGAUUCAACCUAAAACUAUAUGGUUCUACAUUUUAAAAACAUUGAUUAAUAAUGACUAAGAAUUUUUCAUAAAUAAGACAUAUAAAAUAAAUUUUUGAAAAUUUUAUAUUUACAAAGAUGAAAAUCAAUCAAAACAUAGGAAAGAAAACCCAAUUUCUUGUUUAAAAAAUCCAAUAAAAAUAUAUUUAGAGAAAUAUGUUUUUAUUUAAUUUUAAAUAAUUUUGUUACAGCUUUUGUCUUGUUAGCUAUUAUUAAAUAAUCGAACCAAUUUACUAUUUAAUCAAUUCAACCAACCAAUCUAAUGAAAUUUGAAGAAUUUGGUUUCUCAAGGUGGAUAUACACUUCAGUUCAAUUACUAUUUAAUCCAUUGGGUCCUUAUUGGCUAAAAAUGAAUUUCUUUUAUACAAACAUAUAUUUAAAUUUUUAGAGGUAGGACUAAAUUGAUAGAUUUUAUAAAUAUUGAGGGUCAAAUUUAUUAUUUUUUUAAAAUUAUAAUUAAAAAAUAAAUUUUGUAAACAUUGAGGGCUAAAUUUGUUUAAUUUUUAUAUUUAAGAUCAAAUCGGUAGAAUGUAUAAAUAUUAGAGAGCUAAUUUUAUUACUAGACCAAUAAAGCCCACAUUUAUCUAAUUACAUACUAAUUAGUUCAAUAAUUCAUUGUUAUUUUCAUGUUAUUCAUUGUUUUGAAUAAAUGGAAAAGUAAAAGCAUAAACACAACAUACUUUCCAAAGCUCCAUUUCAAUUUUUUCAUUAUUCAUCACAUGUUUCUUUCAAAAAAUAAAAUAUAAAAUAUAAAAUAUAAUAUUCGUUCACAUGUUGAUUUUUCAUACAUGUAGCAUGUAAGAAAACAAAGAAACAAUGGAAGCCCCAACCAAUGAUCCAAGAACUGGCAAGGCUGCGGCAGCCACGCUGGAAUCUGGUCCUGAUGCUGGGGCAGAACCGGGAGAGGAGCUAGGAAUAGAACCACCGGCGGAAGGGGAGGGAGCAGGUGCAUCGGCAGCCAUGACGGCGCUAAUUGAGGCGGCAGCAACAAUGAUGGCGGUGGAGACCUUCUUCAUGUCCAUGGCGUAUAAAGGGAUUAUUAAACGCACCAGAAAUGAACGAGACCUGCGUUUAAUUGCUGGAGUAUGGGGAUCCGCCGGUGAAUGUUAUUAUUUGCUUUGUUAUUGCAGGUCUGAAGAACAAUGAUGUUGGGGAGGAUCUUUUAUAGGUGAAAAUUCAUGGCUAUUUUUAGUGACGAAUUUUUUUUUUUAAAAAUUACGUGUUUGGUUCUCGCAUGAUUUGCGGGAUAGACAUGCAAAUUUUUUAAUAUUUUUUAACGAUUUUAGAUAAUGAGAUUUUAAAAUUUAAGAUUAAAUGAUAAUGAAUUUUUAUUUAAAUUUAAUUAAAUUAUUUGAAUAUGUUUUUUUUCAUUAUUAUUUUUAAAAUUAUAAAUUUGAUUUCGACGGAUAUGAUUCUUUUACGAAACCUUAAUGGUAAAGUAAAGUGAGAGAUUCUAAAAAUUUAUAUGUAAAUAAUAUAUAAUAAGAUGUACAAUGAUAAAUGGUCGGAUGGUAAGUUUUUAUUGAGAUGAAUAUAAGACUAUGAAGGUAAAAUUAUUAGUUAAGUUUCCGUAUUUGGGGAAGAUUGCAUUUUGGUAUUUUUAUUAAAAAAAUGAGUAUAUUAGUCUUUAUAUAUUUCGAAAUGUACAAAUUAACUCAUUAUGUUGAAAAUUAUCUUUUACGGGUAUAUAAAAAUUGUCACCCAAUCAUGUCUAUUGUUCUAUUUUGGUUACCCAACUAAAAAUUCAUUUGGAUUUAAGUUUACCUUGAACGUGGCACGAUUUGGCACUUUAUUGCCCAAUCAUGCUCAACUCAAUCACUUGGAUGUAUAAAUGGGAUUCAACUUCAUUGCACAGAGGCUUUACUUUUUCAUUGGAGGAUUACAACCCCACCAACUUUUUCUUUCCUUUUGUAUCUAAACCUAAUCAUGGGUCGAGUCACCUGGCCCGAAGAUCCACUCAAAAAGUGAAAGGAUUUGUGCAAAAAUAUAGGCUCGAAAAAUGAGUUUAGGCAAAAAAAAUGAGGCCUGAUUUCUAAACGAGUCAGGCAUUGGGUAAACUUUUUUUGGCCUGGUCGAAUUUGUAAAAAAAACCUACUGCUUUUUGCUGCUAUUUUCACUGUUUUUGUUGUUGUUUUGCCACUAUUUUUGUGGCGUUUUGCUAUUAUAUUGCUAUUAUUUUGUUGUUAUUAUAACUCUUAUUUUAUUGUAUUUGAUGUAUUAUUCUUUUUGAAUUUAUUUUUAUAUAAAAAUAAUAAUAUAAAAAAAUUUUAAUACAGACAGGCCGCGCCAGACUCGGGUUUUAGCGUUUUUAUUCAGGUCAAAUUUGGGUAAAAUUUUAGGCCCAGUUUUCAGGUCGGGUUGAAUCCAAGCACAUACUCAAUUGUUAUUUUUAACCCCAUCGGAGCUAAACAAACUAAACCUUGUCAGAUACAUAAAUCAUACAGGGUUAGCAAGGCCUCGGCCUCCCCUAAAAUGAAAACUUUUUCAUUUAGGCCCCUUUGUAAUUUAUAAAAUUUUAAAAUAGUGAAAUUACAGUUUUACUAUCAUAAAAAUAUAAAACAAUUUUAUUUGUUGGUCUAAAAUUUUAUACAUAUUAGAAUUACAAAAGGAUGAAAUUGUUACAUGCUGGUUAUUAGUUCAAUAAUUUAAUGUUAUUUUCAUGUUUAAAACUUAAAAAGUUAAUUCAAUUACUUUAAUUUAUCGUAAUUUUAAUUUCGGAAAUCAAAACGUAAAACGUAAACACAAAAUAUUAUUCAAAGCUCCAUUUUAUUCAAUUUUAUUCAAUAUUCAUCACAUGUUUCUUUCAAAAAAAAUAAAAUAAUAUAUUCGUUGACAUGCUCAGUUUUGAUACAUGUAGCUUACUGCAGCAUGUAAGAAAACAAAGAAACAAUGGAAGCCCCAACCAAUGAUCCAAGAACAGGCAAGGUUGCGGCAGCUACGCUGGAAUCCGGUCCUGAUGCUGGGGUGGAACCAGGAGAGAAGCUAGGACUAGAACCACCGGCGGAAGGGGCAGGAGAUGGUGCACCAGCGGCCAUGACGGCGCUCAUUGAGGCAGCGGCAACAAUGAUGG
rnacentral:lncRNA from 1 species